CCCUUAGAUGUUCUGGGCCGCACGCGCGUUACACUGAUGCAUUCAACAAGUUCUUUCACCUUGGCCGAGAGGCCUGGGCAAUCUUUGAACGUGCAUCGUGAUAGGGAUAGAUUAUUGCAAUUAUUAAUCUUGAACGAGGAAUUCCUAGUAAACGCAGAUCAUCAAUCUGCAUUGAUUACGUCCCUGCCCUUUGUACACACCGCCCGUCGCACCUACCGAUUGAAUGGUCCGGUGAAGCCUCGGGACGGCGGCUUGGUCGCUUGCGUCCGACUGCUGAAACUUGAUUAAACCAUAUCAUUUAGAGGAAGGUGAAGUCGUANCA
rnacentral:rRNA from 1 species